AUUGAACGCUGGCGGCAUGCCUUACACAUGCAAGUCGAACGGUAACGCGGGGCAACCUGGCGACGAGUGGCGAACGGGUGAGUAAUAUAUCGGAACGUGCCCAGUAGUGGGGGAUAGCCCGGCGAAAGCCGGAUUAAUACCGCAUACGACCUACGGGUGAAAGUGGGGGACCGCAAGGCCUCACGCAGAAAGAUGAGCCGACGACCGAUUAGCUAGUUGGUAGGGUAAAGGCCUACCAAGGCGACGAUCGGUAGCUGGUCUGAGAGGAUGAUCAGCCACACUGGAACUGAGACACGGCCCAGACUCCUACGGGAGGCAGCAGUGGGGAAUUUUGGACAAUGGGCGCAAGCCUGAUCCAGCAAUGCCGCGUGCAGGAAGAAGGCCUUCGGGUUGUAAACUGCUUUUGUACGGAACGAAAAAGUCCAGGUUAAUACCCUGGGCCCAUGACGGUACCGUAAGAAUAAGCACCGGCUAACUACGUG
rnacentral:rRNA from 1 species